UCAAACUUGGUCAUUUAGAGGAAGUAAAAGUCGUAACAAGGUUUCCGUAGGUGAACCUGCGGAAGGAUCAUUACUGAACUGUCAACACGAGUUGUUGCUGGUCUUCAAACGGAGACACGUGCACACUCUGUUCACACAUCCACUCACACCUGUGCACCCUCUGUAGUUCUGUGGCUUGUGGGGCUCUGUUCCCUUGCUGCAGUCCUGCGCCUUUACACACACUCUGUAAUAAAGUCUUAUGGAAUGUAAAUCGCGUCUAACGCAAUACAAUACAACUUUCAGCAACGGAUCUCUUGGCUCUCGCAUCGAUGAAGAACGCAGC
rnacentral:misc_RNA from 1 species